GACGAACGCUGGCGGCGUGCUUAACACAUGCAAGUCGAACGGAAAGGCCCUGCUUUUGUGGGGUGCUCGAGUGGCGAACGGGUGAGUAACACGUGAGUAACCUGCCCUUGACUUUGGGAUAACUUCAGGAAACUGGGGCUAAUACCGGAUAGGAGCUCCUGCUGCAUGGUGGGGGUUGGAACGUUUCGGCGGUUGGGGAUGGACUCGCGGCUUAUCAGCUUGUUGGUGGGGUAGUGGCUUACCAAGGCUUUGACGGGUAGCCGGCCUGAGAGGGUGAACGGCCACAUUGGGACUGAGAUACGGCCCAGACUCCUACGGGAGGCAGCAGUGGGGAAUAUUGCCCAAUGGGCGGAAGCCUGAUGCAGCAACGCCGCGUGCGGGAUGACGGCCUUCGGGUUGUAAACCGCUUUCGCCUGUGACGAAGCGUGAGUGACGGUAAUGGGUAAAGAAGCACCGGCUAACUACGUG
rnacentral:rRNA from 1 species